rnacentral:rRNA from 1 species
AGGUAGGGGUACCCGCUGAACUUAAGCAUAUCAAUAAGCGGAGGA